GCUUCAUCAGCUUGGUCAGCUUGGUGAAGAGGGGGAGGUCGGGAUCGUGUCUGAAACACCGAACACAAGACAGAUCAGCGCUGGACUUCAAGGUGUAGCUUUUCAUUGCUUUGCAAACAUUUACAUGCUCUGAAUACGGACGCUUCGAUUAUUGUUUUCCUGAGGCUGUGUGACCAGAGUGAAUAUCCAAAAGUACAAAAGAAACUCGAUGGGGGCGGGGCCAUCUGGAGGUGGAGGCUUGAAUUCAAUCAACAGAAUGUAAGCAAAAAGGAAGAGGAAGAGGAAGUACAUCAGCACAUUUCCCAGAAAUGAGUCCCAGACUCCUGUGGGCCACACGCAGCAAGUGCUUGGUGACCUCUGACUUCUCAACCUCGGGGUGUAGAAAUGCCUUAAUGCAUCGACCCCAAAGGUGGUGGUUCAACCUCUUCAGUUCAGUUUUUGGAACAGAAUAUAAAGCUGAGCCCCUUGGCAUCAGGGGGGCACCUUGGGGGAUUUUUUGCAGUUUCCGUCGGCCGAGUCGGGGGAGUUGGGGUGCGAGGCAGCAAGGUUCUCCCGCUCCUUCAGCCACUUCUGCAGCAAUUCCGGUACGCUGAUGGGAUAUGUGGUCCUCCAGGUUUGUGAUGAAGUUUGUUUCACCUCCCCUGCGGCCUAUGCUCCCAUCGUCCACCAGCAGGAAGGCCUGGUAG